rnacentral:piRNA from 1 species
ACUCAGGACAGGAACUCACGCAG